CCAGGUCUGCAGUGCCUGGUGAAGUACAGUACAACACAGCCUGUUCCAAAAUAUGGUUACCUUUGUUUGCUGUGUGAAAGGAAACUUUCUGAAAUGCUUGUCAUUAACCACAUGUUGAGCUACUCUCAUAUAGUUGCCUACCUCAAUGUUGCCCACCCUGGUUCCCUGCGCAAGGAUGAUCAGGAUAUGUCGCUGAUUGUAGAUCUAGCCCGGCAGGCAGAGGCAGUGAGUGCUGGAGCGUCUAUGCAGGAAGUGGACUUGGAUUUUGGAACAUUGAAUGAGCGCGACACAUUUAAGGCUGCUCUGCAUGCUUUGCAGUUGGUGGUUAAGAAGAAGGGCCUGAAAGAACUGAAGCUCUCCAUAGUUCCAGGGUCCAGGCUGGUGUCCAGUUUGAAGAAACCUUGCCAAAACAAUUCUUUGAAGUGUGUCGCUCAAGAAAGCAGCCCUACGUCACUAAACAUGAGGCAGAUCAACACUGAAGCCUCAUGCUCACAAACUUUCACACCCAUAACUGGUACAAAAGCUCCUGGCUUAAUAUCAGAAAACAUUGAGCCUCUGAAAACCACAUGCGGUUCAGCCUCAACAAACAUUCAGAGUGCAGAACCUUUGGUUGUGUCAACAUCCUCACAACUUCCUGUAGUGUCAUUGAACACCCAGCAGUCUGGCUUGCUGGAAAUGAACACAGAACCAGUCAGCCCAGCAAUGCCUCCUUACCACAACCCAGUAGAGGCCAAAGAGUUCUGCUCAAUGUCAAAGCCUCUUCAAACUCAAAAUGUGAGCCUUUCUCAACCGCAGAGCCCACUGGCACAAAAUUCUAGGGAACCUGAGGAAACAUUGCAAAAACAAACACAGUCUUCCACUUGCUCGAAGAACAAGGCACAAGAUGUACCUCAGAGUCCAGCUUCUAGCAAUGUUCUGUGGAACUACCUACAGACCACAGUAAGAGAACCAGUAAUAGGUUUGAGUUCUGUUGUUGAGUGUCACACUGAUGGGAAGCCACCAUAUUACCUGUGUAUUUCAUGCACAGAGAGAGUUAAAGAGGACUCCAUAAUUGAACACCUGACCAAUCGUGAACAUCAAAAAAUGUAUCUGGUAAAUAUAGACACCCCGCCAACAGUAUUAAACCAAGUUUUAUAACUAACCUCAAUACAGAUUGCUGUUUACACUCAUGUUGGUUUUAUCUUUGUGUUCUCUUUAGAGUUCUAUAAAAUACACUCCUCUGCUGGCCAAAAAAAAAUUGAAGACAAAAUGGUUGAAAUUCAGUGCCGUUAUGUUGGAGAAGAGAGAUGGAUAUGGAGAAGCACAGGUGUUUUUUUUUUUUUUUACAUUGCUUCCUUUUUUUGCUGUUCUUCAGCUCCUCUGCCAGCUUAUUAACGGUCUGACAUUUCAAGCAAAAACUUGAAAGUCUGACUUAUAUGCCGUCUU
rnacentral:lncRNA from 1 species